AACAUUAUCAACCUAUACAACUAAACACAACAUUAUCAACCUGCUACAACAUUAUCAACCUAUACAACUAAACACAACAUUACCAACCUGCUAAAACUCAACACAACAUUACCAACCUGCUACAACUAAAUACAACAUUAUCAACCUGCUACAACAUUAUCAACCUGUACAACUAAACACAACAUUAUCGACCUGCUACAACUAAACACAACAUUAUCGACCUGCUACAACUAAACACAACAUUACAACCUGCUACAACUAAACACAACAUUAUCGACCUGCUACAACUAAACACAACAUUAUCGACCUGCUACACAGAGAGGAACCAAGCAUAAAUGUCUUUUUCCAUUGAUUGAAAAUAGCUGUCACUGCAGGGGGAUGUUUGUAGCCAUCUUUUCAUUUUAUUUUCUCCUUCAUGUGGGAACAUCUAUAAUAUUAGACCCAUCUCUUUAUUCUCUUGAAUGACCUGUACAGACCAGGGUCUGUACCGACCCCGAGCUGGACUGAGGAGGUUUUAUACAGACCAGGGUCUGUACCGACCCCGAGCUGGACUGAGGAGGUUUUAUACAGACCAGGGUCUGUGAUCAACCAAGAUGGACUGAGGAGGUUUUAUACAGACCAGGAUCUGUACCGACCCAGAACUGAACUGAGGAGGUUUUAUACAGACCAGGGUCUGUACCGACCCAGAGCUGGACUGAGGAGGUUUUAUACAGACCAGGGUCUGUGAUCAACCAAGAUGGACUGAGGAGGUUUUAUACAGAUCAGGGUCUGUAUCGACCCCGAGCUGGACUGAGGAGGUUUUAUACAGACCAGGGUCUGGACUGAGAAGGUUUUAUACAGACCAGGGUCUGUACCGACCCAGAACUGGACUGAGGAGGUUUUAUACAGACCAGGGUCUGGACUGAGGAGGUUUUAUACAGACCAGGGUCUGUAUCAACCCCGAGCUGGACUGAGGAGGUUUUAUACAGACCAGGGUCUGUACCGACCCCGAGCUGGACUGAGGAGGUUUUAUACAGACCAGGGUCUGUAUCGACCCAGAGCUGGACUGAGGGGUUUUAUACAGACCAGGAGCUGGACUGAGGAGGUUUUAUACAGACCAGGGUCUGUACCGACCCAGAACUGGACUGAGGAGGUUUUAUACAGACCAGGGUCUGUACCGACCCAGAGCUGGACUGAGGAGGUUUUAUAUAGACCAGGGUCUGUGAUCAACCAAGAUGGACUGAGGAGGUUUUAUACAGACCAGGAUCUGUACCGACCCAGAACUGGACUGAGGAGGUUUUAUACAGACCAGGGUCUGUAUCGACCCAGAGCUGGACUGAGGAGGUUUUAUACAGACCAGGGUCUGUAUCGACCCAGAGCUGGACUGAGGAGGUUUUAUACAGACCAGGAUCUGUACCGAGCUGGACUGAGGAGGUUUUAUACAGACCAGGGUCUGUAUCGACCCAGAGCUGGACUGAGGGGUUUUAUACAGACCAGGGUCUGUACCGAGCUGGACUGAGGAGGUUUUAUACAGACCAGGGUCUGUAUCAACCCCGAGCUGGACUGAGGAGGUUUUAUACAGACCAGGGUCUGUACCGACCCAGAGCUGGACUGAGGAGGUUUUAUACAGACCAGGGUCUGUAUCGACCCCGAGCUGGACUGAGGAGGUUUUAUACAGACCAGGGUCUGUACCGAGCUGGACUGAGGGGUUUUAUACAGACCAGGGUCUGUACCGACCCAGAGCUGGACUGAGGAGGUUUUAUACCUGGUCUGUGUUCAACCAAGAUGGAAGAGGAACGACUCAAACAUCCGAAUCUUAGUGCCAAGGUUACCGUGGAAACAGAGGAGGGGAACUGAUUUGU
rnacentral:lncRNA from 1 species